rnacentral:tRNA from 1 species
CGGAGAUUUACUCAAGAGGCUGAAGAGGACGCACUCGAAAUGCGUUAGGCGUCGUCAGGCGUGCAGGGGUUCAAAUCCCCUAAUCUCCGUC